GUAGGUGACCGAUUGACUCUCUGCUUCCCUGCAUGAAAGAACUGCAUGACACCAGGGUGAAAGAAAAAAGCAGGAAGCGUCGCUACCUGCAUACCAGGUUACAAACCGGCACAAUGUAACCCAAAGGAAGUAUAUGAUAUGAGGUGAAGUGCUGCCAUGGUGUCUGAGAUAACAGAAAAGAAGUGGUGAUAAUGGGAUAAUGGAAAGUAAAGGUUGUAGAGGAUCUUGGCUCCAAGGGCACCUGGGUCCCUGAGCAUUGGUGCCCACCUGCCUGGCCGUCUGCCUUCCCACCGACACACAGAUGGUUUGGAGUGGAGUACGCUCUUCAUUUCCUAGUUCUUCAGAACUGAAUGCUGGAGAAAUUUUUAGACAGCAGAGAUUACACCUGAAGAAUGACUUUAGAAGAGACUUUUGGUGAAUUUCAUGGAUAUGGACAAAACCAAAUUACGAUGAUGCAUCGUCCAUAACGACCAGAGAGAAAUCAGAAACAGAGGGAGCAGGCAUGGUAGGGACAUACAACCUGGCGCCCACCAGAGGGGGCUGAUGAUGCAGGCUGUGGCUGAGGCAGCGAAGGCCGUGUGAUGUCACGCCUGAUGACACUGGCAGCUGGUGGCUCAGGAAACGUUGGAGGCGAGCAACGGUCCAGUCUCUGAUAUUCGGCUCAGUUUGUGGACGCGGAGACUGCCGCCUGGCAGAUGAAGACGCACAGUGAGUGCGCCGUGGUUGAGAGCAGGGAGCUGGAAGCCUUCUUAAUGGAGAUAGCUGGCCUCUAGGACCAUGCCUGUGGCGUCCAGCCCUCGCUGAAGAAGGAGAGGAGGCCUGAGAUCUCGUUGGUGGAGGUUGAAUGGAGACUCCGGCGGGACUGAGAGUCAGACAGCAGGAUGAAGUAGCUGCAGCUGGAGCUACAGAAACAGCAGAUACCUGCUCAGCCCUCUCACCAUAACCUCUGACCCUCAGCAGUGGCCUUCACUCAGGCCUCUAAUCCUCCAGGUCUGAUGGCUCCAGGAUGGGGAUGAGGAUGGCACACUGGACCAGAGUCAUAAAACUCCAACUCACAUUCCUGGAGGACAUUCAUUGAGUCUCUCUGCAAAUCUGAAUUGAUACCAGCCUGGAUAUUGUUCUUUCUUCUACGGUCCUGCCCUGCACUGCUGCUGUUUCACACGUAAAGUAUUUAACUGGUGAAACACAGGUUAGCACUGACAGUGGAUCAGUUUUAUAUAUUAAAGGUCCUCAGCGAGGUUGCCAUCUCUUUACUGUGUCCUGCUGUGUGUGACAAAAUACUUGCACUGUGUGCAGCAUGAAAUCGCUGUUGAAGUUAUUAUUGACCAACUUCUUUAUUAAAAUAAUGUGAAUUUGUUUGCAUUUGUCUGCACUGUAAAUAGAUACACCAGUUGCUCUUCUGUGGUAUUUCUGACAAUGUAGCCGCUCAACCAGUGUUUGCUGUAGUAUUUCACAACACUUGCUGUUAGACCCAUUAACCAUGGGUGUUAACAAAUCAACCAGGACUGAAAAACAACUUUUGCAAGUUAUUUUAUGCCUUAAUCUUACCAAACCGUAACCAUAGAGGUGGCAGAUCAGAAAACAGGGACUGGUGUCACAA